GGCGGGGCGGCAGCUACCAUGCAGUCGAGCGGUAACAGAUCCAGCUUGCUGGAUGCUGACGAGCGGCGGACGGGUGAGUAAUGCAUAGGAAUCUGCCCGAUAGUGGGGGAUAACCUGGGGAAACCCAGGCUAAUACCGCAUACGUCCUACGGGAGAAAGGGGGCUUCGGCUCCCGCUAUCGGAUGAGCCUAUGUCGGAUUAGCUAGUUGGUGAGGUAACGGCUCACCAAGGCCACGAUCCGUAGCUGGUCUGAGAGGAUGAUCAGCCACAUCGGGACUGAGACACGGCCCGAACUCCUACGGGAGGCAGCAGUGGGGAAUAUUGGACAAUGGGGGGAACCCUGAUCCAGCCAUGCCGCGUGUGUGAAGAAGGCCCUCGGGUUGUAAAGCACUUUCAGCGAGGAAGAACGCCUAGCGGUUAAUACCCGCUAGGAAAGACAUCACUCGCAGAAGAAGCACCGGCUAACUCCGUGCCAGCAGCCGCGGUAAUACGGAGGGUGCAAGCGUUAAUCGGAAUUACUGGGCGUAAAGCGCGCGUAGGUGGCUUGAUAAGCCGGUUGUGAAAGCCCCGGGCUCAACCUGGGAACGGCAUCCGGAACUGUCAAGCUAGAGUGCAGGAGAGGAAGGUAGAAUUCCCGGUGUAGCGGUGAAAUGCGUAGAGAUCGGGAGGAAUACCAGUGGCGAAGGCGGCCUUCUGGACUGACACUGACACUGAGGUGCGAAAGCGUGGGUAGCAAACAGGAUUAGUCCUUUG
rnacentral:rRNA from 1 species